UCAGCUGGUCCAGACCAGUUGCCUGCCAGAUU
rnacentral:sRNA from 1 species